rnacentral:rRNA from 1 species
UACGUAGGUGGCAAGCGUUGUCCGGAUUUAUUGGGUUUAAAGGGUGCGUAGGCGGCCCUGUAAGUCAGUGGUGAAAUAUCCCGGCUUAACCGGGAGGGUGGCAUUGAUACUGCGGGGCUAGAGUACAGAUGAGGUAGGCGGAAUUGACGGUGUAGCGGUGAAAUGCUUAGAUAUCGUCAGGAACACCUAUAGCGAAGGCAGCUUACUAGGCUGUAACUGACGCUGAGGCACGAAAGUGUGGGGAUCAAACAGG